GAAGGCAUUUGCCAAGAACGUUUUCAUUAAUCAAGAACGAAAGUUAGGGGAUCGAAGAUGAUCAGAUACCGUCGUAGUCUUAACCAUAAACUAUGCCGACUAGGGAUCGGGUGUUGUCCUUUUUUUGGCGCACUCGGCACCUUACGAGAAAUCAAAGUUUUUGGGUUCUGGGGGGAGUAUGGUCGCAAGGCUGAAACUUAAAGGAAUUGACGGAAGGGCACCACCAGGAGUGGAGCCUGCGGCUUAAUUUGACUCAACACGGGGAAACUCACCAGGUCCAGACACAAUAAGGAUUGACAGAUUGAGAGCUCUUUCUUGAUUUUGUGGGUGGUGGUGCAUGGCCGUUCUUAGUUGGUGGAGUGAUUUGUCUGCUUAAUUGCGAUAACGAACGAGACCUUAACCUACUAAAUAGUGCUGCUAGCUUUUGCUGGUAUAGUCACUUCUUAGAGGGACUACCGAUUUCAAGUCGGUGGAAGUUUGAGGCAAUAACAGGUCUGUGAUGCCCUUAGACGUUCUGGGCCGCACGCGCGCUACACUGACGGAGCCAGCGAGUAUUAACCUUGGCCGAGAGGUCUGGGAAAUCUUGUGAAACUCCGUCGUGCUGGGGAUAGAGCAUUGUAAUUAUUGCUCUUCAACGAGGAAUUCCUAG
rnacentral:rRNA from 1 species